UACGAAGGUCCCAAGCGUUAUCCGGAUUUAUUGGGUUUAAAGGGUGCGUAGGCGGGUUAUUAAGUCAGUGGUGAAAUCUCCGAGCCUAACUCGGAAAUUGCCAUUGAUACUGAUGGUCUUGAGUACAUUUGAAGUGGGCGGAAUGUGUCAUGUAGCGGUGAAAUGCUUAGAUAUGACACAGAACACCGAUUGCGUAGGCAGCUCACUAAACUGUAACUGACGCUGAGGCACGAAAGUGUGGGGAUCAAACAGG
rnacentral:rRNA from 1 species